UUAUGGCUGAGAUGGAGGAGAGCAGGUAGAGGUAGUGCUUCAGGGGAGGAUGAUCCUGGUUCCGGAGUGCGUGAGCAAACGUGCUGGUGGGAGUGAAUGGCUGCACGUGGGAAAGAGAGCCCAAUCUCCUCCUCCUGUUUUGCACUUGGAGCGAUGUGCCCUGGGACACAUGGAACGAUGUGCAAAUCGCUCAUGGAAAAAGAGGGGAUGGAUGAAGUCAGGCUGUGAAGGACCGCAUCCAGCAGCAAUCCCCUCCUGGGCGGUGUGUGGCACAGCAUGGCCUCUUGCUACAAGCAGUGUUCCUUCAGCAGAUGCUUCACCAUGUCCAUGCAAUCAGCACACAGUGUUCUGACUCACCGAACUCCACGUGCAUUGCAUCUUUGCCGUUGUCUUCAUCAACCAAACUCGUAAUCUCAUCAAAGAAUGAAAUUAGAUUUAUAUGAUAGGCCUGUUUUCCAUAAACCAUGAUUACUGGUGUUAAUUAUAUUGCUAUACUUAUUAUUUUAAUUAAUUACCUUUAUUAAUAGAAGUUUGUAUCAGCUUUGCAUUGCUUUGCUCAGCGCUGUGCUGGCCAGCUGGCUCACAACUACCUACAUCAUCUCCGUUCUACUUCUGACUCUUGGCUCCACAUUAGCAGUCAUUCAGUGCUUUGGAGUGCCCUUGGCUUUGGUGCUUUUAUUGCAAGCUAACUUCAGCAGCUGGAUCUCUGAGCUCAGCUCCGUGACAUCAUUUGUGUUCCAUGAGCUUCUGCUUCAGCGCCAGCACUUUGCUGUGAAGGACUGGAGGUCCUCCAUCACAGCAGUGUGUCCCUUGGGAAUUCCUCUGCAUCAGGGCUAUGUUUGUGCUAAAUUGGCAGAAAUUCUCACCUUUUGGCAUCACUGUCAUGACUGAGUAAUUGUUUUAGUUCUAAUUCUUAUGUAUGGGUAAAAUCUGAUGGGAGAAGCCUGCCAACAAAGCAUCAAGACAGUGGUAUCUGUAUCCAGCGCAUCAGCAACACCCGCCUCCAGAAGUCUCUCUCCUGUAUAGAUUUCAGUAGGGCUGCCAUAGCCAGUAGAUUACUGGGAUCUACCACAUGUGCAGCUCAGAGGGUCGCGUUACACUGCACUGCUGACCACCCUGGCCUAAAAGUGAAC
rnacentral:lncRNA from 7 species